UUUGACGUUAGCGACAGAAGAAGCACCGGCUAACUCCGUGCCAGCAGCCGCGGUAAUACGGAGGGUGCGAGCGUUAAUCGGAAUUACUGGGCGUAAAGCGCAUGCAGGUGGUUUGUUAAGUCAGAUGUGAAAGCCCGGGGCUCAACCUCGGAAUUGCAUUUGAAACUGGCAGACUAGAGUACUGUAGAGGGGGGUAGAAUUUCAGGUGUAGCGGUGAAAUGCGUAGAGAUCUGAAGGAAUACCGGUGGCGAAGGCGGCCCCCUGGACAGAUACUGACACUCAGAUGCGA
rnacentral:rRNA from 1 species